GUGUUGCCUUUUUCGGCCGUAGCACCCAGACGGUCCUAUUGGGGAACUGCCAGGACACCAUCCACGCUGAGCUAAUGUGACUCUUGCCUUUUUAUGGCAUGACUUAAAACAACGCCAGUUCGGGAAAAACCAUACAAUCUGUUUCGCCUUUCAAGAAAAAUUAUUGGGAACGGCUGCAACCAGUUUGCCGGAGGACUGCACCAAUGCGACGAGCCGGACAUUCCUUCACAUCCUCAUCUAUGAGCCUCAGUCCAUAAUGCUGGGAGAGGAUGGGGUUGAUGGCACUGCCUUCAGUGAGCCUGAGAAACUCUGUGCUGCUGGGGUUUCUCCACAUUCUGCGGAGGAAAAACACGAAAGGUCUCCUAAUAAAUGGGACAGAAGAAA